AUACAGAGGGUGCAAGCGUUAAUCGGAAUUACUGGGCGUAAGGCGCGCGUAGGCGGUUUGGUCAGUCAGAUGUGAAAGCCCCGGGCUCAACCUGGGAACUGCAUUUGAAACUGGCAGGCUAGAGUAUGGUAGAGGGGGGUAGAAUUUCUGGUGUAGCGGUGAAAUGCGUAGAUAUCCGGAGGAACACCAGUGGCGAAGGCGGCUUCCUGGACUAAUACUGACACUGAGGUACGAAAGCGUGGGGAGCAAACAGGAUUAGAUACCCUGGUAGUCC
rnacentral:rRNA from 1 species